rnacentral:rRNA from 1 species
UACGAAGGGGGCUAGCGUUACUCGGAUUGACUGGGCGUAAAGGGCGCGUAGGCGGUUCGUACAGUCAGACGUGAAAUUCCUGGGCUCAACCUGGGGGCUGCGUUUGAUACGUGCGGGCUUGAGUUCGGAAGAGGGUCGUGGAAUUCCCAGUGUAGAGGUGAAAUUCGUAGAUAUUGGGAAGAACACCGGUGGCGAAGGCGGCGACCUGGUCCGAUACUGACGCUGAUGCGCGACAGCGUGGGGAGCAAACAGG